GCACAGAUUAAACUUAAACUUGACCAACUCGCUGCUUCCUGCUUGAAUGAACACCCUCUUGAAACCAAUCACCUGCUUAAUAGGAGCCCCCACGAUUCCUUUUGGAGGCUUGGCGUAGACCAUGAUAACUUCACUUCCAUCCCUGGAACCUACAUUUUGUACUUCAACUUCGAACGUUAAAUGAUCAUCACAGGAUAAAUGUUCUGUUCGAACUGAUGGGCAUGAAGGCA
rnacentral:misc_RNA from 1 species